CGCAGCGCCGCCGCCGGGGGUCCCGAUGACGCACAGGACUCAACCCAUAAUGUUGGACAAGCUGUUCCUGCAGGUCCAUUGUAAGGGGUGAAGGGAUCAAGCAGCGAAGCUGAAACAAUGCACCAACUUCUCACAGAUGAGAACUUCCAGUGGACUUUGCAAUACAGCCUUCAUAACAUUUGGAAUAAAAUACAUUCCAGCCUUCAUGAGUGUCGUUCGAGGGGGCAACACCUGGAAAGAUCAUCGUCCAUCGCCAUUCGUACCUCGGCAGUGGAUAGGACCACUCAUCUUUGCUGGCUUUGUUCCCUUGGUAACCCUGUAACCAUGACUGCAGCUCUUUGUUUUUUACGCAGCUUCUAAGUUCAAGCACCAUUGGCAACACUAUUAAUCACCACUCAC